AGAAUAGCUAGGACACUGGUAGAGUGUCAUUGUAAAAAUAAAAUAAAAAUGUGUUCUUAACUGACUGGCCUAGUUAAAUAAAGCUUACAUUUUUUUAAAUGAAAUAAAUAUGGGAUGAAUGACACUGGCAGCUAGACAGUGUCCUUUGCCCACGCUGAACACUGCUUUCCUGCAGUUCUACGUCUGUGUCCCAAGGAUCCCGGAUAGCAAGGACAUCACAUAUUACAUCGCUUCCUCACAGCUUCAAAAGCCUGGUAAAUCUGUUACAUCUGCUAUCCAACGCACCAACAGAUUACACUUACAUUUUGAGCUAAAACAUUGCACAUUCAUUUUACUACAGUAACUACGUUUCCAUCCAGUUUUUAUGCGAACAAAGUCUUACCGUACACAAACAAUCACGACAGCUGUGAUGGAAAAAGGACGUUUCAGUAAAUGUGUGUGUAUAAAUGCGACAGAAUUUGUUUGUUCAACAUGGAGGUAUCUUUUUAUGCCUGUAAAAUUAGUUAUGCAAAAAUGGAUACAAUAACCAUCGUAAAGUAAACUUGGAGUCACUCGAUGAUAUCGUGUGUGUGGUCCUCCCACUACGACUCGGGAAACCUUUCAGUUUAUUAGGCUAUUUAUGAAGUCAUUUAUGAUGAAUUUCACAGGGUGGUGAAAGUGCACAGUGAUCUUGAUACUCCUUUCCUAUACAUUUAGAGGGUCUGAUUCUGGUGACAUGAUGAUGAUCCAUGCUUGACUGCCGUUUGAUAAAUAAACAUAUUCUCACUCUUAUCCUUAAUAAUCUCAUGUAGACUAGCCUACCGAGCUGUAGCUGCGAGCUGUUAGCUCGAACGCACGUGCCAAGACUAGAAUAGGCAAGUUCCCAGAUUCAGGAAUUGCCACAUGCAGGAAUUGCGGGCCUCAAUCAGACACUAUUGGACUUCACUGCAGCCAGGUGUGGAAAACUGUCAUACUUGAGUAAAAGUAAAGAUACCUUAAUAGAAAAUGACUCAAGUAAAAGUCACCCAGUAAAAUUAUAUUUGAGUAAAAGUCUGAAGGUAUUUGGUUUAAAAUAUACUUAAGUAUCAAAAGUAUAAGUAUAAAUAAUUUCAAAUUCCUUAUAUUAAGCAAACCAGGUGGCACCAAUUUCUUUUAUUUACGGGUACACUCCAACAUUUCAGACAAUUUACAAACGAAGCAUGUGUGUUUUUAGUGAGUCCGCCAGAUCAGAGGCAGUAGGGAUGACCGGGGAUGUUGACGAGUGUGUGAAUUGGACUGUUUUCCUGUCCUGCUAAGCAUAAAAAAUGUAACAAGUACUUUUGGGUGUCAAGGAAAAUGUAUGGAGUAAAAAGUACAACAUUUUCUUAAGGAAUGUAGUGGAGUAAAAGUAAAAAUGGUCAAAAAUAUAAAGUACAGAUACCUAAAAAAAAUUAAAACUUCCUUUUAAAGUAUUUUUACUUAAGUACUUAACAACCCUGACUGCAGCCUCUAUAAACCCAUCUUUCUCGUGUGUGUAGUGCACCGACCGAGAUUAUAUACCUGGGGAGAUAUAAUUCCAAAUGGGAUUUAGAGAACUGUUAAGACUGCUACCCCACUCUGUCCGAUCCCUGCGUUUAACAUCAUCAACAACCUCAUUUAAGCAUUUAGAUCAUCUAAUGUCCAGAUUCGAUCAGCACAAAAACUGGAAAUGGGUCGGUAGGAAUUAUUUGAUUUAUUAAGUACAAUUUAUUUAUUCAGUAUGAUAGUUAUUUGACCAAGAUCAUUAGCUAGCUGGCUAUCUUAAAUGUAUUAUUUAUUCACCUAACUAGUUUGUUAGCUACUUAGCACCUCAUCUGUGUAUCCUUGUCUCCCAGACACAUUUCUGUGAUAUCGCAUUGACUGGAUGGCAUUUCGUACCCUGUACAUGUUAUGAUUUUCAUAAUGUACACGUAUAAUAAAUGUAUGACAUAAUGUAGGGUAUCUGACAUAUCUAACUCAUUUUAUUUAGACCCUGAGAGACUACCAACGAGCUGAAAUAGAUGUGCCUGUACCAGUUGAGGAUGAGUUGGUUGUGCCUGUAUCGGCGUCAGCAGUUGUGGAUGAGUUGGUUGUGCCUGUAACGGCGUCAGCAGUUGUGGAUGAGUUGGUUGUGCCUAUAUCGGCAUCAGCAGUUGUGGAUGAGUUGGUUGUGCCUGUAUCGGCGUCAGCAGUUGUGGAUGAGUUGGUUGUGCCUCUAUCGGCGUCAGCAGUUGUGGAUGAGUUGGUUGUGCCUCUAUCGGCGUCAGCAGUUGUGGAUGAGUUGGUUGUGCCUGUAACGGCGUGAGCAGUUGUGGAUGAGUUGGUUGUGCCUGUAACGGCGUCAGCAGUUGUGGAUGAGUUGGUUGUGCCUGUAUCGGCGUCAGCAGUUGUGGAUGAGUUGGUUGUGCCUGUAUCGGCGUCAGCAGUUGUGGAUGAGUUGGUUGUGCCUGUAUCGGCGUCAGCAGUUGUGGCUGAGUUGGUUGUGCCUGUAUCGGCGUCAGCAGUUGUGGAUGAGUUGGUUGUGCCUGUAACGGCGUCAGCAGUUGUGGAUGAGUUGGUUGUGCCUGUAUCGGCGUCAGCAGUUGUGGAUGAGUUGGUUGUGCCUCUAUCGGCGUCAGCAGUUGAGGAUGAGUUGGUUGCAGAUUCAUCACCACCAUCAACAACGCUGAAGAACCGUGGAACACAGUGUAAAUGGAACCUACACCGCUCAAAAGCUGUCCAGGAAUGUUCUAUGAUGAUGUAUGCUGGGACACAGGCGGAUGCUAUCCCGUCUGUGCAUUCAACUCCCUCAUCAAGAUCAUUGGCGAGCAGGAGCGCUUCAAAUGUCCAAAUUCGACCAGUACCAACAAAACUGGGAAGUAGUAAUGUUGGUUGCUUUAUUUAUCCAGUCCAAUUACAAACUAAGCCAAACUACCUUAUUUAUUACAUUUGCUAGUUAGGCCUAGGUUGUUAUCUCGCAAGCUUAAUCACCUGAGCUUGAAUUGGCAUGGCCUCCUCUGCAUUGGGUUGUUUCACAGCUAAUAUGAAAAUUUGGCAACGUUUCUGUAAGCAAGCCGCUAUGAUAUUGCAUUGACUGAAUGGUAUUUCAUACCCUGUAAAUCAGAUGUUAUGGUUUUCUAUAUGUGCCUCAAGAUCUGACAUAUUUUGCCUCCUUUUUUUUUUUUUUGAUCCUGAGCAACUGUCAAGAACCAGAAACGGAUAUGCCCGUACCAGCGCCAACAGUUGAGAAUGAGUUUGUUGCAGAUGGAUCAUUGACACUGAAGAACCACAGAACACAGUGUAUCCAGGAAUGUCCUCGAAUGGUUUGUGUUGGAACACACAGAUUAUGUCCUACAUCGCCAUGCCAAGAUCUGUUUUGGAACCCUCGAGGAAAUAAUAGAGGAUGUGCUAUGUGAUGAGUAUACUCCCCCCCCCAUCAGCUGCAUUGUGAGCAGAAGGGGAGUGCAAAUAUGAAGCAGGAGGACCCAGAGCCCACACCGUUUAGAGAGGAACAGGUCUCUGAAACCUCAGUGUUCUUAUUCACGCCUUCCAGCGUGAAAAGUGAAUCUGAUAAUGAUCAGAACCCAUCUUAGGCUUCACAUCUUUACCAAACCCAAAGUGAAGAAAACCCAGAGAGUGACUGUCUACCCAACAACACAAGUGCAGAGAUCAAAACAGAAGUUGAUGGAGAGGACUACAGAGUAUAGGAACCAACCAGUGACUCUCAGCCCCUCUGCAGCAAACCCAAACUGUUCUACAGUAAAGAGUGAAAACGGGGAUUGUGUUGAUGGGGAGGCAAGUGGAGGACUUAUCUCAAAACUAAAGCCACUCGAAUCAACUUGGGCAAAGAAAGAACAAAGCUUCUAAAUGUCUACCAAUGGCAGGAAAACCAGUGAGCUGAAAGUGCCAUUAGGAUCUAACACACGGGAGAGACCCUAUGUUUGCCAAAAAGGCUUUUGGACAGCAUACACUUUACAAGCAAAUGGAAUUAUUCACACAGAGGAGAAAUCGUUUCAAUGCGAAGACUGUGGGAAAUGUUUCAGCAGUAAGGGAAAACUGAAGAAACAUGUUUAGAUUCACACUGGGGAGGUGAGAUACAAAUCUGAGAGAUAAUAUACCUGUCCUGUAUGCAGAAAAGGCAUAAGCACAGCAUUCGGGUUUAAAAAUACAUCAGAGAAUUCACACAAGGGAGAAAUCAUUUCAGUGUCUGUUGUGUGGAAAUGUUACCCAUCAGCAAAUUAUCUUUAAAAAAACACCAGCGCACUCAAACAUUGAGAGAAGACAUUUCGGUGCAAUGACUGCGGCAAGCACUACUGCUGCAAAAGCGCCCUGAACAUGCAUUUAAGGAUACACACGGGACAAAAAUGUUAUUGCGCAGAAUGUAGCAAAUAAAGUGCAUUCAAAAAA